rnacentral:rRNA from 1 species
CCGCCGCGCGCGGCGGGCCUACGGGAGGCAGCAGUGGGGAAUAUUGCACAAUGGGCGCAAGCCUGAUGCAGCCAUGCCGCGUGUAUGAAGAAGGCCUUCGGGUUGUAAAGUACUUUCAGCGGGGAGGAAGGCGAUAAGGUUAAUAACCUUGUCGAUUGACGUUACCCGCAGAAGAAGCACCGGCUAACUCCGUGCCAGCAGCCGCGGUAAUA